CCCUUGGCCUCGCCCUUGCCGGAGCAGGGGGGCUCGGCGGGCGGGUCGCCGCCACCGCAGUAGGCGUUGUCGAAGAAACGGUCGAAGGCUUGAGGCAGGACGCUGUUCUUGUUGACUGAGGAGUAGAAGCCGGCGGGGGUUGCGUGCGGGGCGCUGGGGUGGUGGUGGCCGCCGUAGGAGCCUUCGUUUUUCAUGAGGAUCUCGGUGACGGUGGAAGGAGGCAGGCACUCCCGGUGCAUAAGCUCGUCGGCCGCCGCAUAGCAGGAGGAGUAGCUGUUCCGAUGGUGCCACUUGCCGGAUGGCUCCAGGCCCCUCCAGGCCCUGCCUUCUGCCUGCACAUUCUGCCCUGAUUUCCGGAACCUGGAAGCCUAGGCAGGCAGUGGGGAACUCUGACUCGCCUGUGCUCUGGAGCUUGAUCCGAAAGCUUCCACAGUGAGGACUGCUCCGUGGGGGUAAGAGAGCACCAGGCACUGAGGCCUGGGAGUUCCACAGACCAACACCCCUGCUCCUGGCGGCUCCCACCCGGGACUUAGACCCUCAGGUCCCUAAUAUCCCGGAGGUGCUCUCAAUCAGAAAGGUCCUGCUCCGCUUCGCAGUGGAAUGGAACGGAUUUAGAAGCCUGCAGUAGGGGAGUGGGGAGUGGAGAGAGGGAGCCCAGAGUUACAGACGGCGGCGAGAGGAAGGAGGGGCGUCUUUAUUUUUUUAAGGCCCCAAAGAGUCUGAUGUUUACAAGACCAGAAAUGCCACGGCCGCGUCCUGGCAGAGAAAAGGCUGAAAUGGAGGACCGGCGCCUUCCUUAUAAGCUCGUUGGGGCCUAAGCCAGUACCGACCUGGUAGAAAAAGCAACCACGAAGCUAGAGAGAGAGCCAGAGGAGGGAAGAGAGCGCCAGACGAAGGUGAAAGCGAACCACGCAGAGAAAUGCAGGCAAGGGAGCAAGGCGGCAGUUCCCGGAACAAACGUGGCAGAGGGCAAGACGGGCACUCACAGACAGAGGUUUAUGUAUUUUUAUUUUUUAAAAUCUGAUUUGGUGUUCCAUGAGGAAAAGGGAAAAUCUAGGGAACGGGAGUACAGAGAGAAUAAUCCGGGUCCUAGCUCGCCACAUGAACGCCCAGAGAACGCUGGAAAAACCUGAGCGGGUGCCGGGGCAGCACCCGGCUCGGGUCAGCCACUGCCCCACACCGGGCCCACCAAGCCCCGCCCCUCGCGGCCACCGGGGCUUCCUUGCUCUUCUUAUCAUCUCCAUCUUUAUGAUGAGGCUUGUUAACAAGACCAGAGAGCUGGCCAAGCACCUCUAUCUCAGCCGCGCCCGCUCAGCCGAGCAGCGGUCGGUGGGGGGACUGGGAGGCGCUAAUUAAUUGAUUCCUUUGGACUGUAAAAUAUGGCGGCGUCUACACGGAACCCAUGGACUCAUAAACAAUAUAUCUGUUGGGCGU
rnacentral:lncRNA from 1 species